rnacentral:lncRNA from 1 species
GGGAGGAGGAGAAGGAGCACGCGCUCAGGACUCAUAGGGCACCAGACAGUGAGCUGAGUUCACCUAUCUAUAUUUACGACUACGCUUCAGCAUCUUACCAUCCAAUGAGAGAAAAAAAGCUUUGAAUCCUAUGGAGAAGUCCCCUGUCAUGCCAAGAUUUCUGUGAUUGAAGGUGUACUCUGUGGACCAAUGGGAUUUUCAAUACCUGAC